AGAACGAACGCUGGCGGCAGGCUUAACACAUGCAAGUCGAACGGGCGCGAGCAAUCGCGUCAGUGGCAGACAGGUGAGUAACACGUGGGAACCUUCCUUAAGGUACGGGACAACUCAGGGAAACUUGAGCUAAUACCGUAUACGUCCGUGAGGAGAAAGAUUUAUCGCCUUUAGACGGGCCCGCGUCGGAUUAGCUGGUUGGUGGGGUAACGGCCUACCAAGGCGACGAUCCGUAGCUGAUCUGAGAGGAUGAUCAGCCACACGUGGACUGAGAACACGGCCCAGACCUCCGUACGGGAGGCAGCAGGUAGGGGAAUCGUUAGGACAAGUGGGCGCAAGCCUGAUCCAGCC
rnacentral:rRNA from 1 species